rnacentral:rRNA from 1 species
UACGAAGGGGGCUAGCGUUGUUCGGAAUUACUGGGCGUAAAGCGCGCGCAGGCGGCUAUCCAAGUCAGUGGUGAAAGCCCGGAGCUCAACUCCGGAACUGCCAUUGAAACUGUUUAGCUUGAGGAUGAGAGAGGUGAGUGGAAUUCCCAGUGUAGAGGUGAAAUUCGUAGAUAUUAGCAGGAACACCGGUGGCGAAGGCGGCUAUCUGGACGACAACUGACGCUGAGGCGCGAAAGCGUGGGGAGCAAACAGG